AGUUUUUAAGUUGAAAAAAUUAGAGCAAAUUAUGUUUUCAAGUUUUCCUUUUCAAAAAUCGUUAUACAUUAAUUUUUCACAAAACAAAUGUCCGGCCCACUAGUGUCCACAUAAGUAAAUUUCAGCAUGUUUUGAUCGAGAAUACGGUUGGAAAAUUACGGUGAUAACGGACGUAGGAGUUGCUCUAUGACAUGAGAUAAAAACGUUUGGACACCGACAAUGUGAUCAAAGGUAAUUACAAAAUCAAAUAUCAACCUCAAAUAACUCUCAAAAUAGAAUGAAUCCAAACUCAAUUACUAAGAGACGAGUAAGAGAGCAUUGUAAUUUCAAGUAUAUGAAGUUCUUAUAUAUCUUUUUUCCAUCAUUUAACAUUUUCCAAGAGUUGCUAUAUAUAGGGUUAAGGCCAAUGUGGUCACCGUUGGAUCAGAACCAGGUGACCUCAUCUCAUUAAUUGGAGCCUUCUACCACUUUCUAUCAUCCAUUAAUUACAUUGACAAGAAAUCAACCAUCCUACAUUCUAGGCUAAAUUUUUUUACAUUUAUUAAUAUAAACAUUACAUCAAUCAUUCUUAUAAAUACUUUUCAAAUUCGCUUUAAAGGUAGCGAACGCUUUGAAUUUAAGGGGGUACUUUAGAUGAGCAGAGGCUUAGCCAGAAGAGAAAGUGCUUCAGCAAAAAGACGGAUGAAGAAAGUGCUUCGGCUAAAGUGUGGUUUGUUCCCUUUCUUUACUUUUUUGACUGUCAAAUGUCUACAUGUAGUAUCUCCACGUGGCUUUGACGUGAUCUCCACUGAGAGCUUCAGAUAUAAGGCAUAACAAUAGUCCC
rnacentral:lncRNA from 1 species